rnacentral:rRNA from 1 species
AACCUAUGGACGGGAAUAACCUCGGGAAACUGAGAAUCAUGCCCGAUAGAACAUUAUGCCUGGAAUGGUUUAUGUUCCAAAUGAUUUAUCGCCGUAGGAUGGGACUGCGGCCUAUCAGUUUGUUGGUGAGGUAAUGGCCCACCAAGACUAUUACAGGUACGGGCUCUGAGAGGAGUAGCCCGGAGAUGGGUACUGAGACACGGACCCAGGCCCUAUGGGGCGCAGCAGGCAAGAAAACUUUGCAAUGUGCGAAAGCACGACAAGGUUAAUCCGAGUGGUUUCUGCUAAAGAAACCUUUUGUCAGUCCUAAAAACACUGAUGAAUAAGGGGUGGGCAAGUUCUGGUGUCAGCCGCCGCGAUAAAACCAGCACCUCAAGUGGACAGGAUGAUUAUUGGGACUAAAGCAUCCGUAGCCGGCUCUGUAAGUUUUCGGUUAAAUCUGUACCCUCAACGUACAGG